rnacentral:rRNA from 1 species
ACGUAGGGGGCAAGCGUUAUCCGGAUUUACUGGGUGUAAAGGGAGCGUAGGCGGUCUGACAAGUCAGAAGUGAAAGCCCGGGGCUCAACCUCGGGACUGCUUUUGAAACUGCCGGACUAGAUUGCAGGAGAGGUAAGUGGAAUUCCUAGUGUAGCGGUGAAAUGCGUAGAUAUUAGGAGGAACACCAGUGGCGAAGGCGGCUUACUGGACUGUAAAUGACGCUGAGGCUCGAAAGCGUGGGGAGCAAACAG